UCAAAUACUAAAAUUUUCAAUUUCCCAAAUUCUCAACUUGUUGGUAAGUUAAAAAAUCCCAAACUUCCAAAUUCCUUGUUGGUAAAAUAGAACAUGACACAGGAAUAGUAACAGGCUUCUAGAACCCCAUAGAACACAUGGUACAAGAAAAUCUGUGUACCACAGGUACAGUAGAUUCACUCUUUACCGACAGUAGAAAAUUCCAAACUAAAACCAUCUGCGCAUACUACAGAGGUCUAUAUGUUGAAAUAUCAACUGAAAAUUUGCAAAUUUUAGUUACAGUGUAUUAAACAAAAAUAUGUAUUUAAAUACACAUCCUUAAAACUAGAAUUUAUAUGAAAUUUAUAUGACUACUUAUAGGAAACAAAGUACCAUAGUAUGAAAAAGUCCAUUGUACUGUCUUAUCAGGAACCCCAUAGCUAUCAGCCAGAUAACGAUAUCAUUUAGUCCUAUAAAUUUAAUUGGCAAAAAUGCCGGGGCAAUUAGCGUCCCAUUCUAACCGUCUCGUUGCAAAUUAAUUAAUCGCUUGCACCUGUCGGUGUGAGAAUAAUUUUCUUUCGGUAACAUAAGGUGAAAGGUGCGCUGAGCUUCACGGGUAACAUAAGGAGAAAUACGCGCAUGAAUUGCAUGGCGUUUAUCAUUCAACAUAGCGUCACGAACAACAAACAACGUAGUCCGAGCAAUCUGUCGUGCAUUACUAAUUAGCGCGACAGAAAAUGCGUGAGAAUAUUUGAACAUCAUGGAAGGUGUGAUACGUCAUCGACAAAUGGCAGUGAUGCUGAACGGAUGUUUGGGAUAGCGGGACAUUUUCCGACUCUGCUGAUCACUAAGGUAUGCAAACCAUGCGUUGAUGCUUAGCAGCCGAAUAGGUUUCAGUGUGAAUGGGCCACCAAUAGAAACGCCGAAACUUUUGGCGCCAGAAUUAUUGGCGGGAAGAGAGCUGACUGGCCCAUACAGGUUAGGCUACAAGGACCACACGAACGAGGCUGUUUCACUUGACCGACAAAUACUUCCUGAACAAUCCUCACGUUCACGCUACUUCAAUGACAUAUGUUUCAAUUUGAUUUACAGUGAUGAUUUCUGAAGAAUGCAACGUGUGCAGUAAAUUUUUUUGAGAAGAAUAUUGUUUAAUAAGGAGCCAGAAUGCAUUAAAGAACAUAUUUCUGAAGAAUGCAACGUGUGCAGUAAAUUUUUUUGAGAAGAAUAUUGUUUAAUAAAAAGCCAGAAUGCAUCAAAGAGCAUAUUUCUGAAGAAUGCAACAUGUGCAGUAAUUUUUUUUCAGAAGAAUCUUGUUCAAUAAAAAGCCAGAAUGCAUCAAAGAACAUUGUCAGUACGCAGAUGUGCUUGAAAAUUGAAGAAAGAAUCUAUUAUGAACAGAGUUAAAAUUCGAAGAUGUGGAAAGAGUAUUCUACUGUGGUUCUCCAACUUAAUAUGUACGUUAACGACCGUAGCAACCGACUUGGGAAAUGUAGAAAAUGAUGAUAGGGUUCGAACGAACGCCCCUUCCCACAAUGUAGCAGCAACAGUUGGCUGUUCGACCACAUUGUGCGGCACACAUCUACAAAUACUGAUGUCGUAACGGUCCCUAAAUUCUCCAAAGACGGUUCAAAGAUACCAUACUUCCUGCAACCAUGUUUGAAAAAGGUCUUCCCAGUUGGAGGCAGUGAAAACUAUAUACUCCAUGGCCCAGAAGUUUUGGAAAAGCUUUGAAGUUAAAAAUUAAGUUUGGAAAAAAUUUUUCCAAAAUUUUUUGGAAAA